rnacentral:rRNA from 1 species
GACGAACGCUGGCGGCGUGCUUAACACAUGCAAGUCGAACGGUAAGGCCCUUCGGGGUACACGAGUGGCGAACGGGUGAGUAACACGUGGGUGAUCUGCCCUGCACUUCGGGAUAAGCCUGGGAAACUGGGUCUAAUUCCGGAUAGGACUCCUGGCUUCAUGGUUGGGGGUGGAAAGCUUUUGCGGUGUGGGAUGGGCCCGCGGCCUAUCAGCUUGUUGGUGGGGUAAGGGCCUACCAAGGCGACGACAGGUAGCCGGCCUGAGAGGGUGACCGGUCACACUGGGACUGAGAUACGGCCCAGACUCCUACGGGAGGCAGCAGUGGGGAAUAUUGCACAAUGGGCGCAAGCCUGAUGCAGCGACGCCGCGUGAGGGAUGACGGCCUUCGGGUUGUAAACCUCUUUCAGCUAUGACGAAGCGCAAGUGACGGUAGUAGCAGAAGAAGGACCGGCCAACUACGUGCCAGCCGCCGCGGUAA